rnacentral:rRNA from 1 species
GGACCUGUAAAGAUGCAUGAAACUGUUAGACUUGAGAAUGGACGAGGUAGGCGGAAUUCGUAGUGUAGCGGUGAAAUGCAUAGAUAUUACGAAGAACUCCAAUAGUGUAGACUGCUUACCAGACCAUAUCUGACACUAAGGCACGAAAGUGUGGGUAUCAAACAGGAUUAGAUACCCUGGUAGUCCACACAGUAAACGAUGAAUACUAACUGUUUGCGAUAUACAGCAAGUGGUCGAGCGAAAGCGUUAAGUAUUCCACCUGGGAAGUAUGCCGGCAACGGUGAAACUCAAAGGAAUUGACGGGGGCCCGCACAAGCGGAGGAACAUGUGGUUUAAUUCGAUAAUACGCGAGGAACCUUACCCGGGCUCGAACGAUAUUUGAAUACAUCCGAAAAGAUGUAGCUAGCAAUAGCAAAUACCGAGGUGCUGCAUGGUUGUCGUCAGCUCGUGCCGUGAGGUGUCGACUUAAGUGUCAUAACGAGCGCAACCCUUACCGAUAGUUACCACCAGAUAAUGCUGGGGACUCUAUUGGGACUGCCACCGUAAGGUGUGAGGAAGGAGAGGAUGACGUCAAAUCAGCACGGCCCUUAUGUCCGGGGCGACACACGUGUUACAAUGGGAGAAACAAAGGGUCGCUACCUGGCAACAGGAUGCUAAUCUCGAAAAUCUCUCUCAGUUCGGAUUGGAGUCUGCAACUCGACUCCAUGAAGCUGGAUUCGCUAGUAAUCGCACAUCAGCCAUGGUGCGGUGAAUACGUUCCCGGGCCUUGUACACACCGCCCGUCAAGCCAUGGAAGCUGGAAGUACCUGAAGUAUGUAACUAAAAGAGCGUCCUAAGUAAAUCNN